rnacentral:rRNA from 1 species
GACGAACGCUGGCGGCGUGCCUAAUACAUGCAAGUAGAACGCUGAAGGAGGAGCUUGCUCUUCUGGAUGAGUUGCGCACGGGUGAGUAACGCGUAGGUAACCUUGCUGGUAGCGGGUGAUGACUAUUGGAAACGAUAGCUAAUACCGCAUAAGAGUAGGUGUUGCAUGACAUUUACUUAAAAGCUGCAAUUGCAUCACUACCAGGUGGACCUGCGUUGUAUGAGCUGGUUGGUGGGGUAAAGGCUUAACAAGGCGACUAGACAUAGCCGACCCGAGAGGGGGGACGGCCCACCUGGGACUGGAAACCGGCCCAGGACCCUACGGGAGGCAGCCGUAGGGAAAUUUCGGAAAUGGAGGGAAAGCUGACCGAGGAACGCCGCGUGAGUGAAGAAGGUUUUCGGAUCGUAAAGCUAUGCUGUAAGGGAAGAACGAGUGUGAGAGUGGAAAGUUCACGCUGUGACGGUAUCUAACCAGAAAGCGCCGGCUAACUACGUG